GGAGGAGGGUGUGGCCGGAAGCGGGAAAGGUAGGGGUCUCACGCUUAGUCCUGUUGUUUAUGGGGAUGGAGGAGGGCGUGGGUGGAACCGGCAAAGGUAGGGGUCUCACGCUUAGUCCUGUUAUUUAUGGGGAUGGAGGAGGGCGUGGCCGGAAGCGGCAAAGGUAGGGGUCUCACGCUUAGUCCUGUUGUUUAUGGGGAUGGAGGAGGGCGUGGCCGGAAGCGGCAAAGGUAGGGGUCUCACGCUUAGUCCUG